rnacentral:rRNA from 1 species
AUUGAACGCUGGCGGCAGGCCUAACACAUGCAAGUCGAGCGGCAGCGGGAAAGUAGCUUGCUACUUUUGCCGGCGAGCGGCGGACGGGUGAGUAAUGCCUGGGGAUCUGCCCAGUCGAGGGGGAUAACUACUGGAAACGGUAGCUAAUACCGCAUACGCCCUACGGGGAAAGCAGGGGACCUUCGGGCCUUGCGCGAUUGGAUGAACCCAGUGGGAUUAGCUAGUUGGUGAGGUAAUGGCUCACCAAGGCGACGAUCCCUAGCUGGUCUGAGAGGAUGAUCAGCCACACUGGAACUGAGACACGGUCCAGACUCCUACGGGAGGCAGCAGUGGGGAAUAUUGCACAAUGGGGGAACCCUGAUGCAGCCAUGCCG